rnacentral:snRNA from 1 species
UGGAAAAUCUGCUCUUUUAGUAUUUGUCCAGUAGGUUUCCUGAAGGAGAAAGCCUCC